rnacentral:rRNA from 1 species
CUGCUCAAUGAUUUUUUAAAUUGCUGUGGUAUUUUGACUAUACAAAGGUAUUGUAAUAAGAUUYUAAUUGAAUGCUAAGAGAAUGGAAUUACAAAGAAUAACUAUUUUAAACUUAAAAAUUAAAUUUAUUUUAAUUUGUGAAGAAACAAUUAUAUAAAUUAAGGACAAGAAGACCCUAAGAAUUUUAAAAAUAGUAAUUUUUAGUUUCAAAGAAUGCUAUUUUUUAGUUGGGGCAACUAAGAAAUAUUAUAAACUUUUUUAAAAUAAAAUGAUCCAUUAUUAAUGAUUAUCUGAAAAAAUACUCUAGGGAUAACAGCGUAAUAAUUUUUGAUAGAACAUAUAGACAAAAUAGUUUGCGACCUCGAUGUUGGAUUAGGAUACUUUUUUAAUGAAGAUGUUAAAAAAAGAAGUUUGUUCAACUUUUAAAGUCCUACUUGAUCUGAGUUCAGACCGG